UGCAGACGGACCAGCCCAUUUACAACCCUGGCCAGCGAGUUCGGUACCGGGUCUUUGCUCUGGAUCAAAAGAUGCGCCCGAGCACUGACACCAUCACAGUCACGGUGGAGGUGAGUCCCCGACCUCUGGCUUCCUGAUCCUGGCCACUGACGUGACCUCCUGCCUGUGACCACUUCUCCCCUUGCAGAACUCUCACGGCCUCCGCGUGCGGAAGAAGGAGGUGUACAUACCCUCGUCCAUCUUCCAGGAUGACUUUGUGAUCCCAGACAUCUCAGAGCCAGGGACCUGGAAGAUCUCAGCCCGAUUCUCAGAUGGCCUGGAAUCCAACAGCAGCACCCAGUUUGAGGUGAAGAAAUACGCUGGUGAAUGGACAGAGCCACAUUGUCCUCUCAAAGGCAGAGUUCCAGGACGCCCUGGAGAAGCUGAAUAUGAGCAUUACUGACCUCCAGGGGCUGCGCCUCUACGUUGCUGCAGCCAUCAUU
rnacentral:sRNA from 1 species